CCUUUUUUUUUGGCGGUUUCUUUCUCUAAUCGGGGUGAGCUAUCCACUCCGCGCUGCUUCUCGACCUAUUCCAAUCGGGAGAGAAAGCGGCGAGCGGUUCUGAAGGCGAGCGGAGCUUUCGAUGGCGAUCGUGCGGCAUCUGAGGGUAUUCUCGUCGGCCGGCGGCUGGAUCGUGGGAGGGAGGCGGCUGGAUCGUGGGAGGGAGGCGGCUGGAUCGUGGGAGGGAGGCGGCGCUGUUAGAGGCUUCACGACGGAGUCUUCGGAUGGCGCGGGUGCGGCCUCGUCGGCCGGCGGCAACAUCAAGGCAGUCGCGGUUGCGCGAGGCUUUGCGGCAUGGUGGGUGAUCUGCACCCCGGCGAGUGGCCGAUGCGGGGGCUCCCUGGCGUGGUGGGUGGCCUGCAACGCGGCGAGUUGCCCCAACCUCCAGAUCCGUCGAAAUUAUCUGGCCUGGUGGGUGGUCGGCGCGGCUUGCGUCCUGCGGGCGGCGUUGCGUGUGUAUUUGGUAUCCUGGCUCCGUCCGCUCGUGGACGUCAAGGCGGCGGCGAGACGGUUGGGAGUUGAACAUUGCGGCGGCGAGCGGCUGCACGGCCGGUGGCGAGCGGCGGCUGUUCUAUCCGCACUUCGUGUGUCCUCGGCUCCGUCGUGGUUGGCUUGUGGAAGCUGCGCGUCGUGGUUGGCCGGCUGGAUCGGCUGUAAUGGCAGGUGCAGAUUAGUGGUAGUUUGCAGACCAAUAAAGAGGGGGCGUCGAUGACCAUCCGGCCGAGUCCGGAGGAGGUACCGCUGGAAAUCGAGAGGUUGUCGAUGGAGAGUAGGCGUUAGAGGCGGGUGGUGGAGGGGAUCGGCGUGCAGAGGUCGCGGCACGACAUCACCGUCUCCUGCUGUCUCCAGGUCUCCUCCGGCGACCGCCUGCACAAGCUGCUGCCACCUCCGACCUUAUGCUCCGGCAGCAGCUGCGAUCCCCAACCUCCACCAAUUGCCGUAAGCAAUCACCACCCCUUUUAUCUGAGAGCCACAAUCGUCCAAACCUCCAGAUCCCGUCCAUGUCCCGCGACUUUCAGACGAUUCCCAUGGUUAGGGAUGCUUCUCGACGCCUGGCCUUGAACCUGACCUCUUUGCCCAUCUCUCUUCCUCCUUCCAUCUAAUCUGUUGUGCCUCCCGUGGGUAAUAGCUUGUGUAUGGAUUGGAUCGGCGUCCUCCUGCGGCUGCCAUAACGCUAGCAGAUAUCCACGAAUUGGGCAUCUAGCCCCUUGCAAUUUUACGUCAGCUUUCAGUUUGGGUACUGGGCUACUGGCUAAAUGAUAUUUUCAUUGGGAAGUUCUUCUACUAACUCCUGAUUUGCGUGGAGAUACCAAAUUUCAAUUCCAAAAGAUAAUUAUUGGUCUCCAAGUAGUGUUGAUUUUUUACUUCGUUUGUUCAAAUGGAAAUAGCGCUGACUUUUUAACUCAAUUUGUUGAUGUAGAGAUCCAGGUGAGGCCAAGUCUUCUACAGAUAAGGUAAGAUAAGUAAUUAAUUUACCUCAUUCUAGGUCUUUGUAGUUAUUUUAGCUUUAUAAGUCUAUCAAUUAAUUUAUCCAUGAUUAGGAGCUUAGGUAUUAAUUAAAUGCAGACUUCAUUUUAGCUUUAUUAGUGUAAUACAUCCAUGUACCCUGUAUGUAAACUCAUUCUAUCUAUAUGCACACCAAUUGGCAACAGAUAUAGGAGCUGAAUACGGUUCACAUUGAACUCAUGUGUGCAUUUACAUUAUUGCGUCCAUAAUUUCGAGUUUGUCCCUAUAUAAAAAUUGUAAAAUAUGUUUCUAACUUUUCAUAGAGACUCGGUUUGUGCAUUUUGGUUGAAUCUAUUUGUGUUCAGCGGUAAGUUUACUUAUAACAGGUUUUCGCUUCCAUUCUGCAUCCUUCUUUUCGGUUCAUAACUGUUCAAUUUUCUUCGACAUAGUUUUGUUGCUGUAAAAAUGAAUUUGAGACAAUUAAUUCUGCAUCAUUUUUAAUUUCUGGGCUACAGUCUUGCGUUGGUGGGCACGAUUAGCUAGGUUCUAUGUGAACGUACCAAACCAAAAGAUAUGUGUACUGGUUUUAUUAAUGCUAUUAUGAAAUGCAUUUUGGUUAGGAAUUAUGAGUUAAACGAAGCUCACACAUAGUUUCUUGUGGUAGUUUCGAUGGCGUAUCCUUCCUAUGAACGUACUUUGUUUCAGUUUUCUGAUACCUUGUUUCAGCUGAAGUGCAUAUUUUAUUUGGUAUGUAUGUUUAUAAUCAGAAUGGUAUACUAUGUCUGAAAGAAUUUUUUGCAACCCUUGUAAGCUUAUUUGUCUUUUACCCUUGAUGUAUGCUUUGAGUAAAAAAUAAUUUUCGUUGUUCAUGUACUGAAUUGUCACACCAUCUUGAUUUGAGUUGAGCUAGCUUUUGACAGAGCCAUCUUGAAUAAACUCUGAGCUAUUUGACUGAGGCUGCGCGCCCUAUUGCUCAUAACAAACCUUGUCUAUGUGGCUCACAGCGCGGGGUGUCGUAAUUUUUUUUUACCCGGGAUGGUUUCUUUAAAAUAGGGGUUGUGGGAUUUGGUAGCUUACCACUAACCUUGUCACCUUCAGUUAUUUUUUUCCUUCCUGGUAUUCAAUCGUGCGCCACGACGGUGAGCGGUUGGGAGAACGCAUGCGCGGCUAGCGGCCGGCGCGCGCUCUGGGUAUCAUUUGCUCCCCUGUCACCUCUUUCUUUUUCCUUCCUGGUAUUGGACAGGUGGUGUUGGUCGACUGGCUGGAUCGGCGGCAAUGACGGUGUGCUGGCGUGGUACACAUCGGUGGUGGUUGCCUGCUGCGCUGGUCUAGCAGCGCGGUGGGUUGUGGCAACGGGCUGAAUUGAUAUCGUUGUCGUACAUUAUGGCGGUGGUGGAUGAGGGCGGCAUCGGCAUCGGCAUCGGCCACCUCUUGCUCUAUCUCCGGAUUCCCUCCGUCGACCACCUCCUGCUACGUUGCCAGCUCCCCUCCGUCGCGAAGGCCCUAGACUGUGCACGUCCGAGGCAUACCAUAUCGAUCUCCACCAUCGACCUGUAUGGUGACCGAUGUAGGAGCACCUGAAGAAUCCAAGUUCAGCCAGGAGUGCAAGUGUUGAGGUAUGAUGGGUUUUUGGCAGAUUCACGUUCCGUGAUGUCACAGAGGUGAAGUAGAGAAGAGACACUGGGACGGUCUUCUGGCUGGUGCCUAGUAUAUCAAGUAUAUGGCACUGCAGCAGGUAGCAUAGAUGGUAUGCAAUGCUGCGGGUGGCCUCGUCUGCGACAUCAUCGACGUAUGGGACAGACGGCGAUGUUCAAAAUAUUAAGUGGGAUUGGGGGUGUGUCCUGCUCCUGGGUACACAAUGAAAUGUAGAGCUGCACCGCAUGUUGUGGUCUUCAGCGCCGGGCUGCCUAGUACGGUGGAAAUACAACAUCAAAGUGUCGUCUAGUGGAGCUGAUGUAACUAAAUAAUUUGCAUCGACUCAUGUAAUUUAUUACAUGUUAACAUAUUAAUUCCUUUACUUUUGAAAUGCGCGCAAUGCCUGAAAUAUGUAGACACAUGUGUGCAUGGACACACUAGAGUUCUUGCUCAAGCCGUACGUGUAAAACUUGCAUUGUGUAAUCAGGGCAAUCAGGCCAUCCUUACUAUUCUUACAGGCAUUAAACUUUUACAUCA